ensembl:lncRNA
CGAAGGGCAGCGUCAGCAGGAGUUAAUCACCGGAACUCUUUCAGCGGCCAAAUGUGUUCGCCUCCGUCAGAAGCCAUGGUUUGGUUUUGGUGCUCGGAGAUGACUCCUCUCCACCCGCGUGUCAGCUCAUUGCGAGAUCCGGAGAGGAGGGGAGAAUAACUGUAUCGCCUGAUGACAGGUCAUCCAUCCCCUGCGGUCUCAGGACGCUUCCUACCGGAGAGCAGCGGCGACGAGGAGCAGAGCAGACCAAAGAUUGGUGAGGACAAGGAUAGCAUGGCAACAAUGCAAGGUGUACGGAGAGGAGAUAAUAACACUAACAAGCGUGGCUUAGGUGGGGAGGUCGGGAAACUCCUGGGACUCUGCCUCGGUGACAACCAAUGUUCCCGAAAAGCAGCAGGAAGACUGGCUCGCCGGAAACUUUUCCCCCCUAAUAGACACAAAUGGCUUUACUCUCCCCUUUAUGAGCCAUUUUGUCUCGGCUUCCCAGGAAGCGCAGGUCCUCUGUGACAGCUUCUAUUGGAAUCUGAAGGACCGCUCAGGUCAGGCGACAGGGAGCGAAAAGAUGCAGUAUACCAUCUCCAUAUAGGAGAACAGAUUCUCUCUGCAGAGGGACGUGUGGUAUUCCCACAGUAAUGCUUUCUGAAAUAGAUGUAUGGUGUGCUGUAUGCCGCUGAUGGAGGGAUGUAAAACUGGAGGUGGAGAAGUGGUGAUUUAAUUUAUUUUUUUAUUUAUUUUUUUAGAUGGGGAGAGAGGUUGAAUAAGAAAUUGUUUGGAAGGGAGUACCAAGUAAAGUCUUCUGGGAUACCUAGGACUUCUGGUCAUUACUGUGCCACCGCGAGGAAAGAGUGAGGAGAGGACAUGGGCAUUCUGUAGUUAACAAAAUGCAACCUCAGGGACAAAGCUGGCAGUCACACCAGUGACUCUUCGAAGAGUUAAAACCUUUCUCUUGUUUGCUCCUGACAAGAGCCGUCUGAAGAACUCUCAUCUACCGUCAUGACAUUUGUAGGGUCCCUGGAGGGGGCCCCAUGUCAUACCUGGUUUAGAGUAUUAGCUUGGACCCACUGGUGCAGAGGCUAAUUAUUCAUUUCUCCCGCCGUCCCAUCUGUUUAGCCGGGCAGGGCUGAGGCGUCAGAGAGAGGGGGACCGUAGCGAGGCCGGGAGAGCGGGCACGGGCGGGUACCCGGCAGGACUGUCGGAGCAGGAGGGGGUGAAAGCACCGGGCACUGUGGGGAGCAUGCUGACUCCUCGCUCCUCCGGUCCGGCUCCUCUGACACUGUCUGCUGACUCCUCGCUCCUCCGGUCCAGCUCCUCUGACACGAUAUGCUGGCUCUUCGCUCCUCCGGUCCAGCUCCUCAGACACUGUCCGCUGGCGACACCCCAAAGCAAGCCCCGUGCUGAACCCCAAAUUGUCAGGCGCCAGAAACAAUGUGUUGCCCCUGGGUCUCUGAACUCCUCUUGUUAUCUUCUCUGAUGUAUUGUAUAUCCCUUUACUACACAGAGAGAGAGAGAGAGAGAGAGAAUGAGACAGAUUGGUAGAUAGGAAGAAAAGGAGAGAAUGAAAGACAAAGGGAGAGAAAAAGAAAAAUGAGAGAAGAAAUGAAAGAGAGAAUGGAGAAAAAGAGAUGAAUUAGAAUUUAAGAGAAGACAACAGAAGACCCGGUAAGAAGCAACCGCGGCCUCUUCUAACGGGCAAGGCCACAUGUCAGGCAAACUAACAGUGGUAAACAAUCAGGGCUUACCGUGUGGAAAAUGAACCAACAGUUAUCUACGCUACUAUUGGACUGUGCAGUCAUGGCCUCCUGGCUCGCUAAUAUGAAUAAAUUACAGAACUUGGCAAAACCUGUCCCAUCUAUUUUUAUUGACCCUUGAAGGCGCCAAAAUGAAGGCUCACAAUCUGUGUGUAAACAUUAAAGACAGGUCAUGACAUGGACAUUAACUUUUAAUUUAUUUAACGUUUUGUGAUGUUGCAAUA